CGAAAGUCUGAUGCAGCAACGCCGCGUGGAGGAUGACACAUUUCGGUGCGUAAACUCCUUUUAUAUGAGAAGAUAAUGACGGUAUUAUAUGAAUAAGCACCGGCUAACUCCGUGCCAGCAGCCGCGGUAAUACGGGGGGUGCAAGCGUUACUCGGAAUCACUGGGCGUAAAGAGCAUGUAGGCGGAUUGAUAAGUUUGAAGUGAAAUCCUAUAGCUUAACUAUAGAACUGCUUUGAAAACUGUUAAUCUAGAAUGUGGGAGAGGUAGAUGGAAUUUCUGGUGUAGGGGUAAAAUCCGUAGAGAUCAGAAGGAAUACCGAUUGCGAAGGCGAUCUACUGGAACAUUAUUGACGCUGAG
rnacentral:rRNA from 1 species